rnacentral:rRNA from 1 species
GAUGAACGCUAGCGGCAGGCUUAAUACAUGCAAGUCGUGGGGCAGCAGGUCCCGUAGCAAUACGGGAUGCUGGCGACCGGCAAACGGGUGCGGAACACGUACACAACCUUCCUUUAAGUGGGGAAUAGCCCGGGGAAACCCGGAUUAAUACCCCGUAACAUUAUGAUGUGGCAUCACAUUAUAAUUAUAGCUCCGGCGCUUAAUGAUGGGUGUGCGGCUGAUUAGGUAGUGGCGGGGUAACGGCCCACCAAGCCUACGAUCAGUAACUGGUGUGAGAGCACGACCAGUCACACGGGCACUGAGACACGGGCCCGACUCCUACGGGAGGCAGCAGUAAGGAAUAUUGGGCAAUGACGCAAGUCUGACCCAGCCAUGCCGCGUGGAGGAUGAAGGUCCUCUGGAUUGUAAACUUCUUUUAUAUGGGACGAAAAGGCCUUUCCAGGUCAACUGACGGUACCAUAUGAAUAAGCACCGGCUAACUCCGU